UACGUAGGGCGCGAGCGUUGUCCGGAAUCAUUGGGCGUAAAGAGCUCGUAGGCGGCCUGUCGCGUCUGCUGUGAAAUCCCGGGGCUCAACCCCGGGCGUGCAGUGGAUACAGGCUGGCUGGAGGCAGGCAGGGGAGAACGGAAUUCCCGGUGUAGCGGUGAAAUGCGCAGAUAUCGGGAGGAACACCGGUGGCGAAGGCGGUUCUCUGGGCCUGUACUGACGCUGAGGAGCGAAAGCGUGGGGAGCGAACAGG
rnacentral:rRNA from 1 species